rnacentral:rRNA from 1 species
UGAGUAACCUGCCCUUAACUCUGGGAUAAGCCCGGGAAACUGGGUCUAAUACCGGAUAUGACUCCUCAUCACAUGGUGGGGGGUGGAAAGCUAUUGUGGUUUUGGAUGGACUCGCGGCCUAUCAGCUUGUUGGUGAGGUAAUGGCUCACCAAGGCGACGACGGGUAGCCGGCCUGAGAGGGUGACCGGCCACACUGGGACUGAGACACGGCCCAGACUCCUACGGGAGGCAG